rnacentral:rRNA from 1 species
UACGGAGGGUGCAAGCGUUAAUCGGAAUUACUGGGCGUAAAGCGCACGUAGGUGGUUUGCUAAGUCAGCUGUGAAAUCCCCGGGUUCAACCUGGGCACUGCAGUUGAAACUGGCAAGCUAGAGUAGGGUAGAGGGGUGUGGAAUUCCAGGUGUAGCGGUGAAAUGCGUAGAUAUCUGGAGGAACUCAGUGGCGAAGGCGACACCCUGGACUCAUACUGACACUGAGGUGCGAAAGCGUGGGGAGCAAACAGG